rnacentral:rRNA from 1 species
CGCUCGUGUCGUGAGAUGUUGGGUUAAGUCCCGCAACGAGCGCAACCCUUGUCGUUAGUUACUACCAUUAAGUUGAGGACUCUAGCGAGACUGCCUGGGUUAACCAGGAGGAAGGUGGGGAUGACGUCAAAUCAUCAUGCCCCUUAUGUGUAGGGCUACACACGUGCUACAAUGGCUGGUACAGAGAGAUGCAAUACCGCGAGGUGGAGCCAAACUUAAAAACCAGUCUCAGUUCGGAUUGUAGGCUGAAACUCGCCUACAUGAAGCUGGAGUUACUAGUAAUCGCGAAUCAGAAUGUCGCGGUGAAUACGUUCCCGGGU